rnacentral:rRNA from 1 species
GUUCAAGCGGUAGGAGAGCGUCGUAACCGGGCUGAAGUCGUACCGUAAGGAGCGGUGGACUGGUUACGAGUGAGAAUGUUGGCAUCAGUAGCGAGAUGUGGGUGAGAAUCCCACAGGCCGAAAACCUAAGGUUUCCUCAGGAAGGUUCGUCCGCUGAGGGUUAGUCGGGACCUAAGCCGAGGCCGAAAGGCGUAGGUGAUGGACAACUGGUUGAUAUUCCAGUACCACUACCAUCGUUAUUAUCGAUGGCGUGACGCAGGAGGAUAGUGUGUGCUAGCUAUUGGAUGCUAGUCUAAGCGUUUAGGCAGUGAGAGUAGGCAAAUCCGCUCUCAUAAUGCUGAGGCGUGAUGGGGAAGGUUCUACGGAACCGAAGUACAUGAUUCCACGCUGCCAAGAAAAGCGUCUAGAGAGAGAAGUAGUGCCCGUACCGCAAACCGACACAGGUAGGUGAGGAGAGAAUCCUAAGGCCGGCGGAAGAAUUACAGUUAAGGAACUCGGCAAAUUGACCCCGUAAGUUCGCGAGAAGGGGUGCCUACGAGAGUAGGCCGCAGAGAAUAGGCCCAAGCAACUGUUUAGCAAAAACACAGGUCUCUGCUAAAGCGUAAGCUGAUGUAUAGGGGCUGACGCCUGCCCGGUGCUGGAAGGUUAAGGGGAACACUUAGCGCAAGCGAAGGUGUGAACUUAAGCCCCAGUAAACGGCGGCCGUAACUAUAACGGUCCUAAGGUAGCGAAAUUCCUUGUCAGGUAAGUUCUGACCCGCACGAAUGGCGUAAUGACUUGGGCACUGUCUCAACUGUAAAUCCGGCGAAGUUGUAGUGCGAGUGAAGAUGCUCGCUACCCGCGAUUGGACGGAAAGACCCCGUAGAGCUUUACUGUAGCUUAGCAUUGAGUUUUGGUAUUGUCUGUACAGGAUAGGUGGGAGACUAGGAAACCAGGGCGUCAGCCUUGGUGGAGUCAACCUUGGGAUACCACCCUGACAGUACUGAAAUUCUAACUGGCGGCCAUGAAUCUGGUCACAGGACAUUGUUAGGUGGGCAGUUUGACUGGGGCGGUCGCCUCCUAAAAAGUAACGGAGGCGCCCAAAGGUUCCCUCAGAACGGUCGGAAAUCGUUCGAAGAGUGCAAAGGCAGAAGGGAGCCUGACUGCGACACCCACAAGUGGAGCAGGGACGAAAGUCGGGCUUAGUGAUCCGGUGGUACCUCGUGGGAGGGCCAUCGCUCAACGGAUAAAAGCUACCUCGGGGAUAACAGGCUGAUCUCCCCCAAGAGUCCACAUCGACGGGGAGGUUUGGCACCUCGAUGUCGGCUCGUCGCAUCCUGGGGCUGAAGUAGGUCCCAAGGGUUGGGCUGUUCGCCCAUUAAAGCGGCACGCGAGCUGGGUUCAGAACGUCGUGAGACAGUUCGGUCCCUAUCCGUCGCGGGCGUAGGAAAUUUGAGAGGAGCUGUCCUUAGUACGAGAGGACCGGGAUGGACUGACCUCUGGUGUACCAGUUGUUCCGCCAGGAGCACAGCUGGGUAGCUAAGUCGGGAAUGGAUAAACGCUGAAAGCAUCUAAGCGUGAAGCCAACCUCAAGAUGAGAUUUCCCAUAGCGUAAGCUAGUAAGAUCCCUUGAAGAACACAAGGUUGAUAGGUCGGGGGUGUAAGCAUGGUAACAUGUUCAGCUGACCGAUACUA